CACAGCAGAGGACUCCGAUGCGGAGCCGCGUUCAAGUCACCACAUCCGUGUCACUGUCACAUUCCUUUGGGUUCCACUUGGUGGAUCAGGGUCGCCACCGUGCGCCGCCCCAAAUUCUACCGUCAAAACGCGGACCAUAAUCGCAUCCAUAUCUGAUUCACAAACGCGGACGCGCUGUAAAUCUAACGGACGUUGGUACAGUUUUUGUUGGGGCAGACACGACCGAACAGCGCUCUCCAUAAACAGGUGGAAUUACCUCUGGGUCGGACAGGGCUAGCCAGCUGUAAUCCACCCUGCUACGGUGAUGCCCGCCUGCCUCCCGGCUUUUACGACCAAGAAUCGGAGCGCUG